rnacentral:pre_miRNA from 1 species
UCUUAUGAAUGAGCAAAGAAAGUAGUUUCUUGAGAUGGAAUCUACUCGUGGUUAAGAUGCUAUGAA